rnacentral:rRNA from 1 species
GCGGCCCCCUGGACAAGACUGACGCUCAGGUGCGAAAGCGUGGGGAGCAAACAGGAUUAGAUACCUGGUAGUCCACGCUGUAAACGAUGUCGAUUUGGAGGUUGUGCCCUUGAGGCGUGGCUUCCGGAGCUAACGCGUUAAAUCGACCGCUGGGGAGUACGGCCGCAAGGUUAAAACUCAAAUGAAUUGACGGGGGCCCGCACAAGCGGUGGAGCAUGUGGUUUAAUUCGAUGCAACGCGAAGAACCUUACCUACUCUUGACAUCCAGAGAACUUUCCAGAGAUGGAUUGGUGCCUUCGGGAACUCUGAGACAGGUGCUGCAUGGCUGUCGUCAGCUCGUGUUGUGAAAUGUUGGGUUAAGUCCCGCAACGAGCGCAACCCUUAUCCUUUGUUGCCAGCGGUUCGGCCGGGAACUCAAAGGAGACUGCCAGUGAUAAACUGGAGGAAGGUGGGGAUGACGUCAAGUCAUCAUGGCCCUUACGAGUAGGGCUACACACGUGCUACAAUGGCGUAUACAAAGAGAAGCGACCUCGCGAGAGCAAGCGGACCUCAUAAAGUACGUCGUAGUCCGGAUUGGAGUCUGCAACUCGACUCCAUGAAGUCGGAAUCGCUAGUAAUCGUAGAUCAGAAUGCUACGGUGAAUACGUUCCCGGGCCUUGUACACACCGCCCGUCACACCAUGGGAGUGGGUUGCAAAAGAAGUAGGUAGCUUAACCUUCGGGAGGGCGCUUACCACUUUGUGAUUCAUGACUGGGGUGAAGUCGUAACAAGGUAACCA